GUCAUCUCACACCAAAGCAACUAGAUCAUACAACUAUUAUGAAUCGAACGGUGAGUGAGGAAACAUGAUUUCCCCCAUCACAAUUCCGCAGCUGGUGCCAGCACCGAGAAAGGGAAAUGGUGCUAAAGUCCAGUCGAAUGUGAACCAUAAUCGAUACCUGAGAGGAUAAAACUCGUGAGAUGUUUUUUUGAAAGUACGGCGGAUUAUGAUCCGAUCAAAUAUCGUAAAAUUCACAGGACGUAACAAACCGCUGAAGUGCCCAUCAAUUAGUUGUCAUAAGCCCGGAGAGCAGCAACAGCAGCGGCAGGAUCUGGCCGUCGAUGAUAUCUCGAAAACUUUACCCAUCGGAGGUCCCGCGCUUUACGCAAAAUCGAGAAUCCUCAGCCACACAUAUGUAUCAAGGAGAAAACUAUCAACGGCAAGGAGACAUUCAUCAACAUUCUCUGCUGAUCUCGAGUGACCUGU